CCAAGGAGUCUAACAUGUGCGCGAGUCAUUGGGUCUUGCUCAGGCCCAAAGGCGCAAUGAAAGUGAAGGCCGGCUCGGUCGGCUGCGUUGGGAUCCCGCCCUUCUCUUAGGGCGGGCGCACCAACGGCCCGUCCCAGUCGCUGCGUCGACGGGGCGGAGUGAGAGCGUACACGUUGGGACCCGAAAGAUGGUGAACUAUGCCUGGGCAGGACGAAGCCAGAGGAAACUCUGGUGGAGGUCCGCAGCGAUUCUGACGUGCAAAUCGAUCGUCAGACCUGGGUAUAGGGGCGAAAGACUAAUCGAACCAUCUA
rnacentral:rRNA from 1 species